GGGGGUGUACGUCCAUCAUUUCCCCCCAGGGAUUUUAACGGAACCAAAAGAUCACGGCAAGUCUUUACCUCCUUUCCUGGGCACAAUUUGAUGUUGUAUUUUUGUUUUCCGCGACAUAUCACACUUUGCAGUCCUUGGUGUUAUACAGUUUUAUCACCUACGGAUAAGUUGUUGAAUUAUUGUGUGGCAAAUGGUAAAAUCUAAAAGUGAGAUAUUUUGAUAGGGAAGGAGUCGUGUCACCACACUCCAGCCCGAGCGAACAGGUACAUCUCAAGUUGCCACCAAUCAACUAGAUAAACCCACGAGGCCGAUAUACCUGUUUUUAACCAGAGUCUGUCUCAGCCUCUACGACUCCAAAUCCAUUGCCAUGCAUUGCUGUAUCUUGCCAUAAAGGUGUGUUGAACAGUGUAGCAGGUUUGGAGGUGCUGGAGAGAGCAGGCCAAAUGUUGUUUUUCCACUCGCCGAUGCGGAGACCAACUCUCCAGGUGCUAAAAUCCUGUCCUCUAACUCAGCGGCUCCAUUUUAUGCUGAGUGGCGCAAUCGCUCUGUGUAGCUAAGGCACAACAGCAUUUCCAAACCUCUUUGAAAUACUGCUGUAAAAUGUCUAUUACAAGUUGAAUGGUGCCGUAACAGUGAAGAUGCAUGUACACAUUCCGGCUUGUAGCGUAUCGAGACACACAGGAUUAACACCUAUAGCCUAAUAUGAACAGAGCAAAAUUUAAGGGACCACCUUUUUAAUAUUUCAAAGCAUUUUUUACUUUUGAUCACACAUCAAGUGCCAUACAGAGCCAUCGUUUGAAUCUAGCGUCAGAUAUUCAAAUAUUACGACAACCACCUGUUAUUCACUCAGUGACCAUUAGUGGUUCUUAGUGACGGGGCUUAGGGAUUUAGAAAAGGGAAAAUGGUCAGUCUGACUUGACAGCUUCCCAACAUGUUGUCCUAGGCCAGAGAGCCCAUCUCUGACCGCAUGGCUGUGUAGCCAUUUGGAAUUGGUCAGGAGCCAAGUUGUGUUAAGUUGCAUUAUGGUUUAAAGCUGGGUGGACAGCCCCCUUAAAACAUGCCGUAACAGACAGAGCUGUAAGCAAAUGUCAAUUGUAAAGACAUCCACGCUCUAAACAGGGUUAUUAUACAGAAACUUGGACUCAACUUGAUUGUAUAUGAACUGCAGAAGUCAUAAUACGCUGCGUUAUUUUGUACCUGUAUGGCCAGUUUUUGCAGAAAUGAUUGUAUUGUACAUUUUAAGGCAACAUUUGUCUCCAUUUUAAAGUUAAAGAAAUGUAAAAAUCCAGUUUGUACAAUCGUUGUUUUUCUUUCGGGUUUCCACUGUUGAAAUUUGCACUCGGCCAGGUUCCAUUUCCCCGAUGAACCACUUGUUUUUCUUUUUACAAAUACAUACUGAAUGUAAUUCACAGAGGCAGGUUUAAUGCAUUGUUGACACAUAUUUUUGGCAUUUGGGGUAAAACCUGAAACCUUUAGCCUCACUGAUUCUGUUCUCAAAAUGGCACUGCUAUCAGUGAACAUCUGAACUGUUUCCUAUUUCUCUCUGAAAUGUUUUCAAGUAAUUUUUCCUACAAUUGUUUACAGACAGAUUAUUUCACUUAUAAUUCACUGUAUCACAAUUCCAGUGGGUCAGAAGUUUACAUACACAAAGUUGACUGUGCCUUUAAACAGCUUGGAAAAUUCCAGAAAAUGAUGUCAUGGCUUUAGAAGCUUCUGAUAGGCUAAUUGACAUAAUUUGAGUCAAUUGGAGGUGUACCUGUGGAUGUAUUUCAAGGCCUACCUUCAAACUCUGUGCCUCUUUGCUUGACAUCAUGGGAAAAUCAAAAGAAAUCAGCCCAAGACCUCAGAAAAAAAGACCUUCAUAAGUCUGGUUCAUCCUUGGGAGCAAUUUCCAAACGGCACGUUUAUCUGUACAAACAAUAGUACGCAAGUAUAUACACCAUGGGACCAUGCAGCCGCCAUACCACUCGAGAAGGAGAUGUGUUCUGUCUCCUAGAGAUUAAUGUACUUUGGUGCAAAAAGUGCAAAUCAAUUCCAGAACAACAGCAAAGGACCUUGUGAAGAUGCUUGAGGAAACCGGUACAAAAGUAUCUAUAUCCACAGUAAAACGAGUCUUAUAUCGACCUGAAAAGCCACUCAGCAAGGAAGAAGCCACUGCUCCAAAACAGCCAUAAAAAAGCCAGACUACGGUUUGCAACUGCACAUGGAGACAAAGAUUGUACUUUUUGGAGAAAUGUCCUCUGCUCUGAUGAAACAGAAAUAGAACUGUUUGGCCAUAAUGACCAUCGUUAUGUUUGGAGGAAAAAGCGGGAGGCUUGCAACCUGAAGAACACCAUCCCAACCAUGAAGCAUGGUGGUGGCAUCAUGUUGUGGGGGUGCUUUGCUGCAGGAGGGACUGGUGCGCUUCACAAGAUGGAUGGCAUCAUGAGGAAGGGAAAUGUUGCUUCAAUAUAUCCACAUCAUCUCAAGACAUCAGUCAGGAAGUUAAAGCUUUGUUGCAUAUGGAUCUUCCAAAUGGACAAUGUUGUGGCAAAAUGGCUUAAGUACAACACAGUCAAGGUAUUGGAAUGGCCAUCACAAAGCCCUGACCUCAAUCCUAUAGAAAAUGUGUGGGCAGAACUGAAAAGGUGUGUGUGUGUGUGAGCAAGGAGGCCUACAAACCUGACUCCGUUACAAUAGCUCUGUCAGGAGGAAUGGGCCAAAAUUCACCCAACUUAUUGUGGGAAGCUUGUGGAAGGCGACCUGAAGCGUUUGACCCAAGUUAAACUAUUUAAAGGCAAUGCUACCAAAUACUAAUUGAGUGUAUGUAAACGUCUGACUCACUGGGAAUGUGAUAAAAUAAAUCAAAUCUGAAAUAAAUCACUCUCUGCUAUUAUUCUGACAUUUCACAUUCUUAAAAUAAAGUGGUGAUCCUAACUGACCUUAGAUGUGAUUUUUACUCGUUUUAAAUGUCAGGGAUUGUGAAACUGAGUUUAAAUGUAUUUGGCGAAGGUGUAUGUAAACUUCAACUGUCUAACAUAUGAUCUGUUUUCAAUUAUGGAUAUUUUCUCACAAGGCCAAUUUUCUUGUUUGUUUUGUUCUGCUCUCCUGAAGUUUAUUUUAUUUGAAGGAUUGAUGAGCACUUUAUUCUUGAUCACUAGCGUAGCUACUCGUAUGGCUUUUUUAAAUGACGCUUUUGCCUUUUUGCAAAAGCAUAUAUUUUUAAUGAAUUUUACCAAGCAGGAGAACUGAUGGAGAGGGUACGGUCUUGGUCCUUUUCUGUUGUCCCUUGAAAAACAGAUUUAUUUAUUUAUUUUUAAACAAAAGCAAUGUAUCUGUUUAAUUAUAUUGGAUUGCUGAUGGUGUUGUCACUAAGAUUUUUUUGUGUUUGAAAUUGUCAUAAUCCAUCACGUUUCCUUUCUUUGACAUGAAGUAAGUGUGUGUUACAUAGGUGUAGUAUGAUUGGUUUCUUUGACAUGAAGACAUGAAGUACGUGUGUGUUACAUAGGUGUAGUAUGAUUGGUUUCUUUGACAUGAAGUAAGUGUGUGUUACAUAGGUGUAGUAUGAUUGGUUUCUUUGACAUGAAGUAAGUGUGUGUUACAUAGGUGUAGUAUGAUUGGUUUCUUUGACAUGAAGACAUGAAGUAAGUGUGUGUUACAUAGGUGUAGUAUGAUUGGUUUCUUUGACAUGAAGACAUGAAGUAAGUGUGUGUUACAUAGGUGUAGUAUAAUUGGUUUCUUUGACAUGAAGACAUGAAGUAAGUGUGUGUUACAUAGGUGUAGUAUAAUUGGUUUCUUUGACAUGAAGUAAGUGUGUGUUACAUAGGUGUAGUAUGAUUGGUUUCUUUGACAUGAAGUAAGUGUGUGUUACAUAGGUGUAGUAUGAUUGGUUUCUUUGACAUGAAGUAAGUGUGUGUUACAUAGGUGUAGUAUGAUUGGUUUCUUUGACAUGAAGACAUGAAGUAAGUGUGUGUUACAUAGGUGUAGUAUGAUUGGUUUCUUUGACAUGAAGACAUGAAGUAAGUGUGUGUUACAUAGGUGUAGUAUAAUUGGUUUCUUUGACAUGAAGACAUGAAGUACGUGUGUGUUACAUAGGUGUAGUAUAAUUGGUUUCUUUGACAUGAAGUAAGUGUGUGUUACAUAGGUGUAGUAUGAUUGGUUUCUUUGACAUGAAGUACGUGUGUGUUACAUAGGUGUAGUAUGAUUGGUUUCUUUGACAUGAAGUAAGUGUGUGUUACAUAGGUGUAGUAUGAUUGGUUUCUUUGACAUGAAGUACAUGUGUGUUACAUAGGUGUAGUAUGAUUGGUUUCUUUGACAUGAAGUACAUGUGUGUUACAUAGGUGUAGUAUGAUUGGUUUCUUUGACAUGAAGACAUGAAGUACGUGUGUGUUACAUAGGUGUAGUAUAAUUGGUUUCUUUGACAUGAAGACAUGAAGUACGUGUGUGUUACAUAGGUGUAGUAUGAUUGGUUUCUUUGACAUGAAGACAUGAAGUACGUGUGUGUUACAUAGGUGUAGUUUGAUUGGUUUCUUUGACAUGAAGACAUGAAGUACGUGUGUGUUACAUAGGUGUAGUAUGAUUGGUUUCUUUGACAUGAAGACAUGAAGUACGUGUGUGUUACAUAGGUGUAGUUUGAUUGGUUUCUUUGACAUGAAGACAUGAAGUACGUGUGUGUUACAUAGGUGUAGUUUGAUUGGUUUCUUUGACAUGAAGACAUGAAGUAAGUGUGUGUUACAUAGGUGUAGUAUGAUUGGUUUCUUUGCUCAUUGUUUUACUUUUGUGUAAUUCUUAAACCAAAUGUUGUUUUGUUAAAAAUGUUGGCACACCAAAUUCUAGAUUUUUAUGUAGGAUUUAAACCGUAUUUAUAAAGAACAAAACAAUUGGCAAAUAUCUAGAGAAAAUAAUCAUCGAUAAAUAAAGAUUUGUCAUCGUCACGAAAUGAGAUUCUCCAACUUUUAGCUUUGUACAAUCUUAUCUGGUACUGGGUGGGGGAUGUCUGCUAGUAGCUGAAGAGAUGGCCG